GCAUCUUGAUUUAAUUUUGAACGAGUGGCGGACGGGUGAGUAACACGUGGGUAACCUGCCCUUAAGUGGGGGAUAACAUUUGGAAACAGAUGCUAAUACCGCAUAAAUCCAAGAACCGCAUGGUUCUUGGCUGAAAGAUGGCGUAAGCUAUCGCUUUUGGAUGGACCCGCGGCGUAUUAGCUAGUUGGUGAGGUAACGGCUCACCAAGGCAAUGAUACGUAGCCGAACUGAGAGGUUGAUCGGCCACAUUGGGACUGAGACACGGCCCAAACUCCUACGGGAGGCAGCAGUAGGGAAUCUUCCACAAUGGACGCAAGUCUGAUGGAGCAACGCCGCGUGAGUGAAGAAGGCUUUCGGGUCGUAAAACUCUGUUGUUGGAGAAGAAUGGUCGGCAGAGUAACUGUUGUCGGCGUGACGGUAUCCAACCAGAAAGCCACGGCUAACUACGUGCCAGCAGCCGCGGUAAUACGUAGGUGGCAAGCGUUAUCCGGAUUUAUUGGGCGUAAAGCGAGCGCAGGCGGUUUUUUAAGUCUGAUGUGAAAGCCCUCGGCUUAACCGAGGAAGUGCAUCGGAAACUGGGAAACUUGAGUGCAGAAGAGGACAGUGGAACUCCAUGUGUAGCGGUGAAAUGCGUAGAUAUAUGGAAGAACACCAGUGGCGAAGGCGGCUGUCUGGUCUGUAACUGACGCUGAGGCUCGAAAGCAUGGGUAGCGAACAGGAUUAGAUACCCUGGUAGUCCAUGCCGUAAACGAUGAAUGCUAGGUGUUGGAGGGUUUCCGCCCUUCAGUGCCGCAGCUAACGCAUUAAGCAUUCCGCCUGGGGAGUACGACCGCAAGGUUGAAACUCAAAGGAAUUGACGGGGGCCCGCACAAGCGGUGGAGCAUGUGGUUUAAUUCGAAGCAACGCGAAGAACCUUACCAGGUCUUGACAUCUUUUGAUCACCUGAGAGAUCAGGUUUCCCCUUCGGGGGCAAAAUGACAGGUGGUGCAUGGUUGUCGUCAGCUCGUGUCGUGAGAUGUUGGGUUAAGUCCCGCAACGAGCGCAACCCUUAUGACUAGUUGCCAGCAUUUAGUUGGGCACUCUAGUAAGACUGCCGGUGACAAACCGGAGGAAGGUGGGGAUGACGUCAAAUCAUCAUGCCCCUUAUGACCUGGGCUACACACGUGCUACAAUGGAUGGUACAACGAGUUGCGAGACCGCGAGGUCAAGCUAAUCUCUUAAAGCCAUUCUCAGUUCGGACUGUAGGCUGCAACUCGCCUACACGAAGUCGGAAUCGCUAGUAAUCGCGGAUCAGCACGCCGCGGUGAAUACGUUCCCGGGCCUUGUACACACCGCCCGUCACACCAUGAGAGUUUGUAACACCCGAAGCCGGUGGCGUAACCCUUUUAGGGAGCGAGCCGUCUAAGGUGGGACAAAUGAUUAGGGUGAAGUCGUAACAAGGUAGCCGUAGGAGAACCUGCGGCUGGAUCACCU
rnacentral:rRNA from 2 species